GUAGGGAAUAUUGGGCAAUGGAUGCAAGUCUGACCCAGCCAUCCCGCGUGUCGGAAGAAGGCCCUCAGGGUUGUAAACGGCUUUUGACGGUGAAGAAUCGACAGGAUGCGUCCUGUUUUGACGGUAGCCGUUGAAUAAGCACCGGCUAACUCCGUGCCAGCAGCCGCGGUAAUACGGAGGGUGCGAGCGUUGUCCGGAUUUAUUGGGUUUAAAGGGUGCGUAGGCUGGAAGGUCAGUCAGCGGUGAAAAGCUGUCGCUUAACGAUAGUCUUGCCGCAGAUACUUCCUUUCUUGGAUGAGGAGGAGGCCACUGGAACGGAUGGUGUAGCGGUGAAAUGCAUAGAUAUCAUCCAGAACACCGAUUGCGAAGGCAGGUGGCUGUACCUUAAUCGACGCUGAUGCACGAAAGCAUGGGGAGCAAACAGGAUUAGAAACCCGGGUAGUCC
rnacentral:rRNA from 1 species